AUAGAACAUAUUUAAAUAUUUUAUUUUACUCUCUUUUGUAGACAAAAAUAGUAAUUAUCCUUAAGCAUCUAGAUAUGUUUUGAAGAAGAAGAUAGUGCUGCUUUAUUUGUUUGCUGAGUCAAGAAGUAUCCCUAACACAUGUCUGGUUACUACUGUUCUUUCUAUGCAAGUACUGUUGGGAUGAACAGACACUGGACAAAUGGACCCAUUGGGCUGGUUGGCUCCAAGGGACUCCGAUAUGAAAUGUGGAGAGAGGAAUCCGAGUCUACCAAGAUGUCUUCUGAACUCUACAUGCCUGCUGUGGCAUGCAUUCCUGCACACCACACACACACACACACCCCACAUUCAAACAUUCCCUAGUUGUCCCAGAUCUUUCCUCUUUGCCAUGGCAAGGUGGAUGAGGGAAAGAAUCAGCAACCCUUGUUCUUAGCUAACGGCAGGCCACUAGAGCUGACCAAGAAAUAAUGAGCAAAGAAUGAAAUACAGUACAUUACUAAUUGUUCCAAAACUUGGUGGGAAAUUGCCAUAUAACUCAAGAAGAUAAAUGUCUCUUGGAAUUGUUUUGCUUGGAGAAGCCAUAAAGAAGCAAAAUAGGAUGGCAUCAGACUACAGAGAGUAA